rnacentral:misc_RNA from 1 species
UACGAACUGCGCGAACGUUAUUCGGAAUCACUGGGCUUACAGGGUGCGUAGGCGGCUUUUCAGGUCCGAUGUGAAAUCCCCCAGCUCAACUGGGGAACGGCAUUGGAAACCGAUUGGCUUGAGUGAGCUAGAGAUGUACGGAACUUCCGGUGGAGCGGUGAAAUGUGUUGAGAUCGGAAGGAACACCAGAGGCGAAAGCGGUACAUUGGGGCUUGUCUGACGCUGAGGCACGAAAGCCAGGGGAGCGAACGGG